GAUGAAGAACGUAGCGAAAUGCGAUAAGUAAUGUGAAUUGCAGAAUUCCGUGAAUCAUCGAAUCUUUGAACGCACAUUGCGCCCUCUGGUAAGCCGGGGGGCAUGCCUGUCCGAGCGUCAUUUCUGCCCUCAAGCACGGCUUGUGUGUUGGGUGUGGUCCCCCCGGGGACCUGCCCGAAAGGCAGCGGCGACGUCCGUCUGGUCCUCGAGCGUAUGGGGCUCUGUCACUCGCUCGGGAAGGACCUGCGGGGGUUGGUCACCACCAUGUUUUACCACGGUUGACCUCGGAUCAGGUAGGAGUUACCCGCUGAACUUAAGCAUAUCAAUAAGCGGAGGA
rnacentral:misc_RNA from 1 species